UACGUAGGGGGCAAGCGUUAUCCGGAUUUACUGGGUGUAAAGGGAGCGUAGGCGGUGCAGCAAGUCAGAAGUGAAAGCCCGGGGCUCAACUCCGGGACUGCUUUUGAAACUGUUGAACUAGAUUGCAGGAGAGGUAAGUGGAAUUCCUAGUGUAGCGGUGAAAUGCGUAGAUAUUAGGAGGAACACCAGUGGCGAAGGCGGCUUACUGGACUGUAAAUGACGCAGAGGCUCGAAAGCGUGGGGAGCAAACAGG
rnacentral:rRNA from 1 species